AUUGAACGCUGGCGGCAGGCCUAACACAUGCAAGUCGAGCGGAGCGGCGGCCGGGUGAGGAAUGCCUAGGAAUCGGCCUCGUAGUGGGGGAUAACGUCCAGUAACGGGAGCUAAUACCGAAUCCUAUCCGAUUAGCCUAGGCCGGCUUAGCUAGUGGGUGGGGUAAAGGCAUACCAAGGCGACGAGCACUAACUGUUCUGAGAGGAUGAUCAGGCACACUGGAACUGAGACACGGUCCAGACUCCUACGGUAGGCAGCAGUGGGGAAUAUUGGACAAUGGGAGAAAGCCUGAUUCAGCCAUGCCGCGUGUAUGAAGAAGGUCUUCGGAUUGUAAAGCACUUUAAGUUGGGAGGCGUUACCAACAGAAGAAGCACCGGCUAACUUCGUGCCAGCAGCCGCGGUAAUUC
rnacentral:rRNA from 1 species